UCAUAUCUUGUGUUUGCUUCCCCUUUUCCUUGUCAAAUUGCAGUCGGUUAGAGACAUAUACGUACCUGUUCCUUCGUGCCGUAUGCAAAUUGGGUCAUUACUCUGUUAGUACACGCAGACGAAGAAUUUUUUCCCUUUUUCUUUUGAAACAAGUAAUUUUCCGUGUUUUGUGUCUAGACUGAAUCAGGCAAGGGAAUCACCCAACUGACUAUCUUCUACUAGUAUCUAUCAGCUACUCUCGAUUUCAAAAUAGUUGUCCAAUUUAUUUCUUUCAGUAAUGCCCAGUUUAACCUGUUGUCAGCUGAGGAAAUUACCAAUAGUAGGUUAAGUCUGCAUAGUGUAGUUAAGCAGCUGGAAUAUUAUUGAUCAGUGUAAAUAAUGCAAAAACUAACUUCAGCGGUGAAACAUAUAACACAAUCUACUGAAUAAUUACUAAAAAGGAGGUACCACUACAAUUACCACGUCCAGAUAUUCAUCAGCUCAAUGAAUACUGUGGCAAGACCAAUUACACGAGUGAUGCAGAGAUCAUCACCUAGGCUACAAUGUCACACAGUGCAACCUCUCUUGCUACUAAACAUGAAGAAUUCUAGGAUUAAUCUUGGCAAGAACGCUUAAAAUCUCAUGUCUUGGCAAGUUUUGGAUUUGGCAGGUCUAAGGUUGAGAUGACGCUGCUUCUUGGGAAGGCGGGAAGCGGUAGAACGGCGGCGGCGCCGACGUCACCGGCGCCGGCUGGUACAGCGGGAACGGCAAGAAUGGCGGCCGAAGGAACGGCCCCAGCCAGUCCGGCACGGGGAACGGCCACGGGAACGACACCGUCCCGCCGGCGCCGCCCGGCGAGGCUGGGAAUGGGAGCCGGAACGGCGGCCAGAAGAGUGGGGCAAGACCGGCCAGAAGAAGAGUGACGAGCCGAACGCGCCGCCGGCUCCGGCGCCGGCGCCGUGGCAGAGGGCGCCGUCCCGGUUGGCGGGGCGGAAGUUGAGCGCGUUGAGGUUGAGGAAGCAGGCGUUGGUGGCGCGGGAGCGGAGGGCGAUGUGCUGCGUGGAGCCCCGGAGUCCGGGGACGUUGCAGGCGGCGGAGGAGCUCCGGACGAGCGUGGCGCGGCACGCCGACCGGAGGUCGUGGCCCUCCCGGCACUCGAAGCCGUCGGCGGCCGGCACGUCGAGCUUGUACACGCCGUGCUGGUCCGUGGUGCGCUCGGCCUCCAGGGAGAGCUCCUCGGCCAUGCUGGAGUUCACCUUGAAGUUGCACUGGAUCAGCACCCUGGCUCCUGCACAUCAUCACCAAGAGCUUUCAGCAUCUGAGCUCUUGUCAAAAAUGCAAACAGUUCCAUUUUUUUCAAGAAAGAGAUGCGAGCAAUUUCAUAACUGGUAAGUUACUGAGUUUCAGUUCAAAUUUAAGACUUAGGUUCAGGUUUCAGAUUUAAUCCAAUGAUGGCAUCUUGUUCUUGUGAAAUCUAAGCUUUAGUUUCGGUAGCUAUGUAGAGUGGGAGCACAGGGGAUGGGAUUCAGUUCAUGAAGUGGGACAAUCUAGUGCAUUGUACGUAUAUUUUUGACUGAAAGUGCAUGAUAUACUUUGGCAGCUCAGAGACACAAUGUUCUAAUAUCUCCAGACCAGAUUCAAAAGGAUAAUGUAAUUAUGGAAACACAUGUUGCUCAGGCAAAAUUUCCAGCUUGAGGCAGCAUUCUCAUUUGCAUUGCAUCAUGAGAUUUAGGAGCACAUGCUGCUCAAAGUAACUUAUAGAAGUACAUGCCAUUGAACAAAUACCAAAAAGUUUGAACUGGAACUCUUGAGUUUCUCGUGCAAAUCUCAGAGACAAUUAAAAUUUUUGCUCUGGAUUAACUGGAUAAUGGACAAUAGCACACUUAAGAAGUUGAAGACCCCAUGUAAUUGCCACUUGUAUAUAACUCAUGUAUGAAGUUUUAAGUGGGCCUAAGAAGCUUCAGUUAGUGUGUGAGGCAUCUUGUCUUUCAUGGUAGCAAUAGCAUUAGCCAAAACUAAACUGAAAUCACAAUUUGGGACCAAGUAAAUUGGCCAAACCAAUAAUAAAUCCACAACAAGCCACAGACACACACAUUUAUGUGCAAUUGUGCCUAUAUAAUCUUUGUGCUGUCUCUAUUAGCUUCACAGGGAAUCAGUGUAAAAAGAAACUCUAAAAAUUGUAAAAAGAAGUCUUAUCAAGGUUGUCUAUUACUUUUCACUUUGCAGUGGCAUCUUCAUAGGACAGAAAAAAAAAUGGAAUUAGUAUUUCUAAGACAUCCUACAUGUAGUACUGCGCAUUGAGCAAGGGAUUUUUUACACAUCUUGUAAAUCUAUCUCAAGAGAGAAACAAAUAAUAACCUGCUUUAAAGAACACACUGUGUUUACCUAGCAAGCAUAUUUCAGAGAAAACUAGUGAUUGACCAGAGUGCAGAACGAUACAUUGAUCAAAACCAACUCUAAUGCUGCUGAAACUACUAUUGUUACAGGUAGUACCAUUUCUACUCACCCUUCAAGAAGAAGCUGUGCUUGGAGAAGGUAUUGUUGGAGCAGGCGUCACAGUAGACAGAGCCAACCACAGUG
rnacentral:lncRNA from 1 species